UACGAAGGGGGGCUAGCGUUGCUCGGAAUCACUGGGCGUAAAGGGCGCGUAGGCGGCCAUUCAAGUCGGAGGUGAAAGCCCAGGGCUCAACCCUGGAAUUGCCUUCGAUACUGUUUGGCUAGAGACCGGAAGAGGUAAGUGGAACUGCGAGUGUAGAGGUGAAAUUCGUAGAUUAUCAAGAACACCAGUGGCGAAGGCGGCUUACUGGUCCGGUUCUGACGCUGAGGCGCGAAAAGCGUGGGGAGCAAACAGG
rnacentral:rRNA from 1 species